rnacentral:rRNA from 1 species
AUUGAACGCUGGCGGCAGGCCUAACACAUGCAAGUCGAGCGGAUGAAGGGAGCUUGCUCCUGGAUUCAGCGGCGGACGGGUGAGUAAUGCCUAUGAAUCUGCCUGUUAGUGUUGUAUAACGUCCGGAAACGGGCGCUAAUACCGCAUACGUCCUUAGGGAGUAAGUGUGGGAUCUUCGGACCUCACGCUAUCAGAUGAGCCUAGGUCGGAUUAGCUAGUUGGUUGGGUAAAGGCCUACCAAGGCGACGAUCCGUAACUGGUCUGAGAGGAUGAUCAGUCACACUGGAACUGAGACACGGCCCAGACUCCUACGGGAGGCAGCAGUGGGGAAUAUUGGACAAUGGGCGAAAGCCUGAUCCAGCCAUGCCGCGUGUGUGAAGAAGGUCUUCGGAUUGUAAAGCACUUUAAGUUGGGAGGAAGGGCAGUAAGUUAAUACCUUGCUGUUUUGACGUUACCAAAAGAAUAAGCACCGGCUAACUUCGUG